CUGGGGAGUGAUGAUGAUUCUUAGCCAAAUCAGAUAUGUGCUCCAAGAGGCACUUGCUGGGGUUCUUGAGUUGAGUCACCAUAGUGAUAUCAUGUGGAACCUUAAUAGCCAGUAGUGUGUACCUCUUGUUGUAGGAUGAUAUUACAGAGAUGUGUAAAAACUCUGACCAGA